rnacentral:tRNA from 1 species
UCCCAGGUGGCUCAGACAGUAAAGAAUCUGCCUACAAUGCAGGAGACCCAGGUUCCAUCCCUGGGUUGGGAA